rnacentral:rRNA from 1 species
GAUUCUUCGGAUGAUUUUCAGUUGACUGAGCGGCGGACGGGUGAGUAACGCGUGGGUGACCUGCCCCAUACCGGGGGAUAACAGCUGGAAACGGCUGCUAAUACCGCAUAAGCGCACAGAGCUGCAUGGCUCGGUGUGAAAAACUCCGGUGGUAUGGGAUGGGCCCGCGUCUGAUUAGGCAGUUGGCGGGGUAACGGCCCACCAAACCGACGAUCAGUAGCCGGCCUGAGAGGGCGACCGGCCACAUUGGGACUGAGACACGGCCCAAACUCCUACGGGAGGCAGCAGUGGGGAAUAUUGCACAAUGGGGGAAACCCUGAUGCAGCGACGCCGCGUGAGCGAAGAAGUAUUUCGGUAUGUAAAGCUCUAUCAGCAGGGAAGAUAAUGACGGUACCUGACUAAGAAGCCCCGGCUAACUACGUGCCAGCAGCCGCGGUAAUACGUAGGGGGCAAGCGUUAUCCGGAUUUACUGGGUGUAAAGGGAGCGUAGACGGCAAGGCAAGUCUGAUGUGGAAACCCAGGGCUUAACCCUGGGACUGCAUUGGAAACUGUCUGGCUCGAGUGCCGGAGAGGUAAGCGGAAUUCCUAGUGUAGCGGUGAAAUGCGUAGAUAUUAGGAAGAACACCAGUGGCGAAGGCGGCUUACUGGACGGUAACUGACGUUGAGGCUCGAAAGUGUGGGGAGCAA